UUCCAGUGGAGCCGUCCUUGAAAUACCACCCUGGUAAUGUUGAGGUUCUAACUCUGUCCCGUGAUCCGGGACGAGGACCGUGUCUGGUGGGUAGUUUGACUGGGGCGGUCUCCUCCUAAAGAGUAACGGAGGAGUACGAAGGUGCGCUCAGCGUGGUCGGAAAUCACGCGUAGAGUAUAAAGGCAAAAGCGCGCUUAACUGCGAGACCCACAAGUCGAGCAGGUACGAAAGUAGGUCUUAGUGAUCCGGUGGUUCUGUAU
rnacentral:rRNA from 1 species